rnacentral:rRNA from 1 species
GACGUAGGGCGCGAGCGUUGUCCGGAUUUAUUGGGCGUAAAGAGCUCGUAGGCGGCUUGUCGCGUCGAAUGUGAAAACUCGGGGCUCAACUCCGAGCUUGCAUUCGAUACGGGCAGGCUAGAGUUCGGUAGGGGGAGACUGGAAUUCCUGGUGUAGCGGUGAAAUGCGCAGAUAUCAGGAGGAACACCGGUGGCGAAGGCGGGUCUCUGGGCCGAAACUGACGCUGAGGAGCGAAAGCGUGGGGAGCAAACAGG